AUUGAACGCUGGCGGCAGGCCUAACACAUGCAAGUCGAGCGAGCGGCGGACGGGUGAGUAAUGUAUGGGGACUGCCCGCUAGAGGGGGAUAACUACUGGAAACGGUGGCUAAUACCGCAUACUAUCGGAUAACCCAUAUGGGAUUAGCUAGUUGGUGGGGAAAAGGCGCACCUAGGCGACGAUCUCUAGCUGGUCUGAGAGGAUGAUCCGCCACACUGGGACUGAGACAGGGCCCAGACUCCUACGGGGGGAGCAGUGGGGAAUAUUGCAAAGUGGGCGCAAGCCUGCUGCAGCCAUGCCGCGUGUAUGAAGAAGGCCUUAGGGUUGUAAAGUACUUUCAGCGGGGAGGCGUUACCAGCAGAAGAAGCACCGGCUAACUCCGUGCCAGCAGCCGCGUAAUUC
rnacentral:rRNA from 1 species